CUUCCUUCUCUUUCUUCUUUUCUCUUCUCUUCUCUUCUCCUCUCCUCUCCUCUCUUCUCUUCUCUUUUUUCUUGACAGUUUUGCUCUUGUUGCCCAGGCUGGAGUGCAAUGGUGCGAUCUCGGCUCACUGCAACCUCUGCCUCCCUGCAACCUCUGCCUCCCAGGUUCAAGUGAUUCUCUUGCCUCAGCCUCCAGAGUAGCUGGGAUUAUAGGCAUGCGCCACCACACCCGGCUACUUUCGUAUUUUUAGUAGAGACCGGGUUUCUCCAUGUUGGUCAGGCUGGUCUUGAACUCCAGGCCUCAGGUGAUCCACCUGCCUCGGCCUCCCAAAGUGCUGAGAUUACAGGCAUGAG
rnacentral:lncRNA from 10 species